AUUAUUUUAUGAAUUGUUGGAGAAUUUAAUAGUUACUUAGUUGGUACUUAACUGGGGAUGUAAUCAUUGUAAACUAUUCUGGCUCAAAAAUAGUAAAGUUUAGCAGGUUGAGAUAAACUAUUAGUUUAAUUUUGUUAUUGGGGUUUCAAAUUAUUCUGAGAAUCUGAACUCGUUGUUGAUGGUUUGUUUAUUUAGAUCAAUUUUCGAUAUUAAAAUUAUUCUAAAAAAAAAGAAUGAUAGUAAAAUAGUAAAACAAUAAUAAAACAGAUUUGUGAAAUUUGAUGAGAAGGUGAUGGAAUUGCAGUGAUUUGUAUUGGUAGAAAGUUGUUCUCAUGGAGAGCUUUCUUGGUGGGUUUGUAUUGCCUUUGUUGCUCCUAACAGGUCUACUUGUUUCUUUUGUAACUUGGAUCAGCCAAAUGCCAUAGUUCGUUCUAGAGUCGGAAAUCCCAAAGGUAUUGACACAAAACCCAAUCUUUAUCUUCUUUUUACAAGAAUGCUUGAUUUUUUUUUUUUUUUUU